rnacentral:rRNA from 1 species
ACGGGAGGCAGCAGUGAGGAAUAUUGGUCAAUGGGCGGAAGCCUGAACCAGCCAAGUCGCGUGUAGGAUGAAGGUUCUAUGGAUUGUAAACUUCUUUUGUUCGAGGGUAAAGUGAGGGUCGUGACCCUUAUUGCAAGUAUCGAACGAAUAAGGAUCGGCUAACUCCGUGCCAGCAGCCGCGGUAAUACGGAGGAUCCGAGCGUUAUCCGGAUUUAUUGGGUUUAAAGGGUGCGCAGGCGGCUUUUUAAGUCAGUGGUUAAAUCGUGACGCUCAACGUCAUCACGCCAUUGAUACUGGAGAGCUUGAUUGCGGUCGAGGUUUGCGGAAUUCGUCGUGUAGCGGUGAAAUGCAUAGAUAUGACGAAGAACACCGAUUGCGUAGGCAGCAGACCAGGCCGUAAAUGACGCUCAUGCACGAAAGUGCGGGGAUCGAACAGGAUUAGAUACCCUGGUA